rnacentral:lncRNA from 1 species
CUUAUUUGUAUAGUAGCAAACCAAAUGAUAUUGUGAGCAGAUUGGUUGCUCAUCUCUCAAACUAAUUGGAAUAUGACAUUUUGACCAUUGGUUUACCAGUUUCCAACUGAUGUUACUUGCUAACAGACCACAGGUUGACUGGCAUAGGAACAAAGCACAAAUUCCAAAUGCAAUUUUAAAACAGGAGUGUACACUCUUUGGAUUUCAGAAAAAUAUAACGUUGGCCUCCUACAUGGCAAAGAAAAGAAACUGGAACCCCUGAUGUGAACAUUUCACCGUGAUGGGAAUACUGAUAGGGAAAUCUCAACAAAAUGGAAGCGUGAGAUGGAAACUUCCUACAACAAAACCAGAGGCGGAGGAGAUGUUGUUGGGCCCUCUGCUGGAACUGGCCAGGCAUCCUGUAUUCAAGAUGGUUCCACCCCUCAGAGGCAGCUUCUACGUCAAGGGAACUGGGCAGACAUCUGCCCCAGGGAGUCGGGCAGAGUUCUGGAUCUGACCUUGAUGGUGACCUUGGAGGCUGCAAUGCACAUGUUGGGGGAGGUGGAUCCUGAGCUGGCCUGAGGGUGAGCUCCUCCCUUGCUUCCUGUCCUGGAUCACAAGGCCCUCCAGCUUGCUACCCUGCCUUGGAGCUGGCCUGCCAUGGACUGAAACAAUUGACAACAUUCAC